GUGGGGAAUAUUGGACAAUGGGCGAAAGCCUGAUCCAGCCAUGCCGCGGGUGUGAAGAAGGUCUUCGGAUUGUAAAGCACUUUAAGUUGGGAGGAAGGGCAGUAAGUUAAUACCUUGCUGUUUUGACGUUACCGACAGAAUAAGCACCGGCUAACUUCGUGCCAGCAGCCGCGGUAAUACGAAGGGUGCAAGCGUUAAUCGGAAUUACUGGGCGUAAAGCGCGCGUAGGUGGUUUUGUAAGUUGGAGGUGAAAUCCCCGGGCUCAACCUGGGAACUGCCUCCAAAACUGCAUGACUAGAGUACGGUAGAGGGUAGUGGAAUUUCCUGUGUAGCGGUGAAAUGCGUAGAUAUAGGAAGGAACACCAGUGGCGAAGGCGACUACCUGGACUGAUACUGACACUGAGGUGCGAAAGCGUGGGGAGCAAACAGGAUUAGAUACCCUUGUAGUCC
rnacentral:rRNA from 1 species